CUCGUAGGUGGUUUGUCGCGUUGUUCGUGAAAUCUCACGGCUUAACUGUGAGCGUGCGGGCGAUACGGGCAGACUUGAGUACUGCAGGGGAGACUGGAAUUCCUGGUGUAGCGGUGGAAUGCGCAGAUAUCAGGAGGAACACCGGCGGCGAAGGCGGGUCUCUGGGCAGUAACUGACGCUGAGGAGCGAAAGCGUGGGGAGCGAACA
rnacentral:rRNA from 1 species